AACGAACGCUGGCGGCAUGCCUAACACAUGCAAGUCGAACGAGACCUUCGGGUCUAGUGGCGCACGGGUGCGUAACGCGUGGGAAUCUGCCCCUUGGUUCGGAAUAACGGUUAGAAAUGACUGCUAAUACCGGAUGAUGACGAAAGUCCAAAGAUUUAUCGCCGAGGGAUGAGCCCGCGUAGGAUUAGCUAGUUGGUGAGGUAAAGGCUCACCAAGGCGACGAUCCUUAGCUGGUCUGAGAGGAUGAUCAGCCACACUGGGACUGAGACACGGCCCAGACUCCUACGGGAGGCAGCAGUGGGGAAUAUUGGACAAUGGGCGAAAGCCUGAUCCAGCAAUGCCGCGUGAGUGAUGAAGGCCUUAGGGUCGUAAAGCUCUUUUUACCAGGGAUGAUAAUGACAGUACCUGGAGAAUAAGCUCCGGCUAACUCCGUG
rnacentral:rRNA from 1 species